rnacentral:rRNA from 1 species
GACGUAGGGUCCAAGCGUUGUCCGGAUUUACUGGGCGUAAAGAGCGCGUAGGCGGUCCGUUAAGUGUAGAGUGGAAAGCUCCGGGCUCAACUCGGAAAUUGCUCUGCAUACUGGCGGACUUGAGGGUGGCAGAGGUUUGCGGAAUUCCUGGUGUAGCGGUGAAAUGCGUAGAUAUCAGGAGGAACACCCGUGGCGAAGGCGGCAACUGGGCCAACAUGAUGCGCU